rnacentral:rRNA from 1 species
AACGAACGCUGGCGGCAUGCCUAACACAUGCAAGUCGAACGAGACCUUCGGGUCUAGUGGCGCACGGGUGCGUAACGCGUGGGAACCUGCCCUUAGGUUCGGAAUAACUCCCCGAAAGGGGUGCUAAUACCGGAUAAUGUCUUCGGACCAAAGAUUUAUCGCCUUUGGAUGGGCCCGCGUUGGUUUAGCUGGUUGGUAGGGUAAAAGCCUACCAAGGCGACGAUCCAUAGCUGGUCUGAGAGGAUGAUCAGCCACACUGGGACUGAGACACGGCCCAGACUCCUACGGGAGGCAGCAGUGGGGAAUAUUGGACAAUGGGCGAAAGCCUGAUCCAGCAAUGCCGCGUGAGUGAUGAAGGCCUUAGGGUUGUAAAGCUCUUUUACCCGGGAUGAUAAUGACAGUACCGGGAGAAUAAGCUCCGGCUAACUCCGUG